CAUCUGUCUUGUUCUGCUGACUUCCCAAAGUCUGUGAACUGGAGCUGAGUUCAGGCUUGGAACUGGAGGCUUGGGUACAAACAUGUCCCGAAUCUGUGCUGGUCACUGAUUCCACUUGCCAACAAACAGGCUCUGGUGAUGGUGCAACAGUAGCCAUUUUCAUCUGCUGACAAAGCCGUGACUCCUGUUGCUGAAAUCCAAGACCCUCCAAAGGCACUUCAAGCUCUUCUU
rnacentral:lncRNA from 1 species